GUCUCUGUAGCGCAAUGGACAGUUCGUUGCAGUUGGACUUCUAAUCCAAAGGUCGUGGGUUCAAAUCCCACUUGGGAUG